rnacentral:rRNA from 1 species
UACGGGGGGGGCAAGCGUUGUUCGGAAUUACUGGGCGUAAAGGGCUCGUAGGCGGCCAACUAAGUCAGACGUGAAAUCCCUCGGCUUAACCGGGGAACUGCGUCUGAUACUGGAUGGCUUGAGUUCGGGAGAGGGAUGUGGAAUUCCAGGUGUAGCGGUGAAAUGCGUAGAUAUCUGGAAGAACACCAGUGGCGAAGGCGACUCACUGGCCCAUUACUGACGCUGAGGCGCGAAAGCGUGGGGAGCAAACAGG